rnacentral:rRNA from 8 species
UUAAAUUGAAGAGUUUGAUCAUGGCUCAGAUUGAACGCUGGCGGCAGGCCUAACACAUGCAAGUCGAACGGUAACAGGAAGCAGCUUGCUGCUUCGCUGACGAGUGGCGGACGGGUGAGUAAUGUCUGGGAAACUGCCUGAUGGAGGGGGAU